UACGGAGGGUGCAAGCGUUAUCCGGAUUCACUGGGUUUAAAGGGCGCGUAGGCGGCCUGCCAAGUCAGGGGUGAAAGCCCCAGCUCAACUGGGGAAGUGCCUUUGAUACUGGCGGGCUCGAGCGAGGUAGGGUCGUGGGAACGUUCCGGUGGAGCGGUGAAAUGCGUUGAUAUCGGGAGGAACACCGGUGGCGAAGGCGGCGACCUGGGUUGACAUUGACGCUGAGGCGCGAAAGCGUGGGGAGCAAACAGG
rnacentral:rRNA from 1 species